CCUCAAAUCAGGUAGGACUACCCGCUGAACUAA
rnacentral:rRNA from 1 species